CCUACGGGAGGCAGCAGUGGGGAAUAUUGGGCAAUGGAGGAAACCCUGACCCAGCAACGCCGCGUGAAUGAUGAAGGUCUUCGGAUUGUAAAGCUCUUUUCUAAGGGAAGUAGAAAGUGACGGUACCUUAGGAUUAAGUCUAGGCUAACUACGUGCCAGCAGCCGCGGUAAUACGUAGGAGGCGAGCGUUAUUCGGAAUGACUGGGCGUAAAGGGUGCGUAGGUGGGUUGGCAAGUUAGUAGCGUAACUCCAAGGCUCAACCUUGGAACUACUACUAAAACUGUUAGACUUGAGUGCAGUAGGGGCAAGCGGAAUUCCUAGUGUAGCGGUGGAAUGCGUAGAUAUUAGGAAGAACACCAAUGGCGAAGGCAGGUUACUAGACUGUAACUGACACUGAGGCACGAAAGCGUGGGGAGCAAACAGGAUUAGAUACCCUAGUAGUC
rnacentral:rRNA from 1 species